rnacentral:lncRNA from 1 species
CUGUGAUCCUGGAUCAUCAUUUCUACACCAAAGCAACCUGAAGAGUGAGAAGCAUAACUUAAGGGCAUGGAGGAAGAAAGAAAAGCUCAAGAAAGAAAAGAAACAGAAGCAAGAAAACCUUGCCUUCUGACAUGUCCUCCCUGAAUGUAGUGUAUCUUAUUCUCAUUUUAAAAUUCUGUAAAUGUGAAAAAUGUCUUGUUGUUUUCAGGCUUUCUCAACCUUUUUCUAAAACUCUUUGGAAUAUAUUUCAAAUGGUUAAAUAGUUUUAUCAUCCACUGUUAAGUUGCUAUUAUUAUUAUUAUUAUUUAUCAUUUAGCUUGACAUAAAGUUGAAGACAAAAGACUGUCCUGGUUACAGAUAYGUAAGAUGCUGCAGACUAAAAGGUGUUUUUUAAAAAAGUCAGAAGUUAAACAGAUGUCCUUGGAGAAGCUGAAGAUGGAAAUAUUUCUCAAAUGAGCAAUUUCACACACGCAGAGUGGAAGCUGCCUUGGUAGGUUUCUCAAGAGACCGGCAACCUUUUCUACAGGUCAUGGGGAGCAGAACUUCUUUGUAUUUUUCUACUUUGAGUUUGUGAGUAAACACAAUACAGUGCUUUAUGUUGAAUGCUGAGAGCACAUAAAGUCCUAAGGGACCAGAUUUCCCCAGGCCAAGAGGGAACAUUACUUUUUAAAAACAUGGAUAAGCCAGCUAUGCUACUAUGCCAUUUUAAUUGCUUCAAACUAUAAGCACAGAUGCAGAGGCUGUUUCAAAUAAAUGAACUGUAUGCUUACAAACCAUUUUCCAGAGACAUCAAGUUGCAAUUUUCGGUAAAUAACAGAUAAAGUAGAAGCAACUUCUGUGCCACUCUUGAUGGAUGGCAGGAAAAAGCAGAAGGAAACAUUAGCUCUGCUUCUCUUUUGCUUUUGCACUGCUUUCAUCUACAGUGUGAAAUUCCAAGUUACUGUGAAAAAGCUGUCCAAGGAAUAUUCUUGGCAAUACUGCAAGCAGAAAGUACAGGAAACCUCACAAGAGAGUUUGUUCCAGCAACAUUGCCAUCCACGUUUCACAGCUGCAAGGACAUUCAAACCAAAUCUAAACACCAUCUUUUCCCAUAUACAGAACCUUGCUGAGGUAAAAGUAGCAGGACCAGAAAAGUUUAAUUAA